CCCUCCUGGCAAUGGGCAAAGAGACACCUCGCUGAUGGUGUUCUUAUAUCAGUUAGGGACAGAGCAGAUGGUAGUCCUUUGGUCAUCCUAGCUUGAUGCCUGGCUUGGCAACCAAGGCUGUUUUAUGUCUAGGACUUAUAA